rnacentral:rRNA from 1 species
UACAGAGGUGGCAAGCGUUGUUCGGAAUUACUGGGCGUAAAGGGCGCGUAGGCGGCCUUCUAAGUCAGACGUGAAAUCCCCCGGCUUAACCUGGGAACUGCGUCUGAUACUGCGGUGCUUGAGGACUGGAGAGGAGACUGGAAUUCAUGGUGUAGCAGUGAAAUGCGUAGAGAUCAUGAGGAAGACCAGUGGCGAAGGCGGGUCUCUGGACAGUUCCUGACACUGAGGCACGAAGGCCAGGGGAGCAAACGGG